rnacentral:rRNA from 1 species
CCCUUAGAUGUUCUGGGCUGCACACGCGCUACACUGAAGGGAUCAGCGUGUUCUUUUCCCGGUCCGAAAGGAUCGGGUAACCCGCUGAACCCCCUUCGUGGUAGGGAUCGGAGCUUGCAAUUAUUCUCCGUGAACCAGGAAUUCCCAGUAAGCGCAAGUCAUAAGCUUGCGUUGAUUACGUCCCUGCCCUUUGUACACACCGCCCGUCGCUACUACCGAUUGGACGUUUUAGUGAGGAUUUUGGACUGAGCCAAUGGUGGUUCACACCACUGUUGUGCAUGGAAAGAUCUCCAAACUUGAGCGUUUAGAGGAAGUAAAAGUCGUAACA